rnacentral:antisense_RNA from 1 species
GGUCGUUUCUCUUCGGGCCCAACACGAGCCCAAAAGCUUCCCAUCUUCUCCCAGAAGAUUAGCGGCGGGGGAGGCGGCGGCGACCGGCGGCGACAGGGUGGCCGGAUUUGCGGUCCCGUCUCCCUCUCCUGGGCUUCCGCCACCACCCGCGGGCGCUUCUCCUCCACCGGGAAGCCUGCCGUCGCGCGACGGCGACUCCCUUCGACUGUUCGACGCAAUGCCAGGGCAGGCCUGGUGGAGCGGAGGCGGAGCCGCUUCUUCGCUGCUUGAGGCGAGGCGUUCAGGGUGUUCGGCGAAAUGCUCGAGAGUCGCUUGUCCAGUCCUGGUCGGUGGCGACUUCGGCCGUCGAAGAUCUCGUGGGCGGCGACUGUGCUUCCGCUUCGUGAGCUUCUGAAGGACGCAUACCUUUUGAUACUACAUGCAAAGCAUCAUUCCGAGAGGUGCAUAUAAUUUAGAGCAAUCAUCGGCAUCGUGGUCAUGGUGUGUACAUGCUCUGGAAAACAACAUAGCACGACUGGCUGCCAGUGGGAGCUGGCUUAUCAUUUGGGACACCACAGGGGAGACUGGUUCUUGUGUAGACAUGGUCUAUGGACUAUGGAACGGACUGAAGCCACACAGAUCUUCAGGUGCAGCACAAACUGGAGAAAUCCUUCGGCCAGAACAGAAACAGCAUAGGGAACACAAGAUGAUUACAGAAGAUCGGCUGCACAAAGACCAAUUCUAGAAACAGCAUAGAGGCCAUUUCCAGUUCAGACGACUGUAGUGCUGUACUGCUGUGCUGCACGUCGUACACGUCGAAGUCUGAAGAGGAUUGCUGCACUGCAGAUCAAUCAAUGAUUUUCCAAUUUUCGUCAAAACAAGAAACCAAUGAUUUUCCAGGCUCAUGGACACGGUCUACCCAGGCACCCAUCCGUAGACGUGCAAAAUUAUGAAAAACUGAUGGCGAUCUGGCGAUGAAUGAAUGAAUGAUUCGGACCGCCGCUACGUUGUUGCUGCCGACGCGUUCGUUGGCCGUGUGUCCGUGUCUCGGUCUGCAGUCUUCAGUGUCUCAGUCCGAUCGGAAUGAAAUGGAAUGGAGGAGAUGGCGGUGUGAACUGUCCUUGGUAGUGGAGUUGUGGAUUGGCUCGUAUACGACAAAUGUAUUUGGAUAUUUGGCACUUGUUAUCGCUGGAAAAAAUAUAGUCAAGUCGUGUACGAGGAAAACUGCAUGCUACUACCAUACAUACGAAGGAUAUCAAGUUCUUGACAUUUUGAUAUGGAGCAUAGCAAAACUGUUCUAGUUCUCGUUUGAAAUGCGAGAAUGUGUUCACAAAAGGCUGAUUCAUUUUAUUUAAAAUUCACGCAAUAUUCCUCUGUUCGAAGGAAAGGUCUUGUUGUGUUUUUCUUUUUCUUUUUUUUUCUUUUCUAGUGCAGGCUGAUCUGCUGUGCUGAGUGCAGACCGUGGCAGAAGUGAUUUACUUUUCCUUGUAUAAGGGGGUGUUUAAAUCCGGGGUGUAAAGUUUUAGCGUGUCACAUCGAAUAUUAUAUAAGGUAUCGCAUGUGGCAGAGUUUACAUUACCGGUUGACCACUAAAUUUCGAACCCCAUCGGUAUCACCGUUUUCGAUAAAUUUUGAUCGGUUUUUGAU